GUGCUCACUGUGGCAGCAUAGAUACUAAAGUUGGAAGAACACAGAGAAAAUUAGCAUGGACCCUGCACAAGUGAGACA
rnacentral:snRNA from 1 species